rnacentral:rRNA from 1 species
UAUGGAGGGUGCGAGCGUUAAUCGGAAUUACUGGGCGUAAGGCGCACGCAGGCGGUUUGUUAAGCUAGAUGUGAAAGCCCCGGGCUCAACCUGGGAUGGUCAUUUAGAACUGGCAGACUAGAGUCUUGGAGAGGGGAGUGGAAUUCCAGGUGUAGCGGUGAAAUGCGUAGAUAUCUGGAGGAACAUCAGUGGCGAAGGCGACUCCCUGGCCAAAGACUGACGCUCAUGUGCGAAAGUGUGGGUAGCGAACAGG